rnacentral:rRNA from 1 species
GGGUUAAGUCCGUAACGAGCGCAACCCUUGUCCUUAGUUACCAGCACGUUAUGUGGGCACUCUAAGGAGACUGCCGGUGACAAACCGGAGGAAGGUGGGGAUGACGUCAAGUCAUCAUGGCCCUUACGGCCUGGGCUACACACGUGCUACAAUGGUCGGUACAAAGGGUUGCCAAGCCGCGAGGUGGAGCUAAUCCCAUAAAACCGAUCGUAGCCCGGAUCGCAGUCUGCAACUCGACUGCGUGAAGUCGGAAUCGCUAGUAAUCGUGAAUCAGAAUGUCACGGUGAAUACGUUCCCGGGCCUU